UACGUAGGGUGCAAGCGUUGUCCGGAAUUAUUGGGCGUAAAGAGCUCGUAGGCGGUCUGUCGCGUCGGAUGUGAAAAUCCAGGGCUUAACCCUGGGCCUGCAUUCGGAUACGGGCAGACUAGAGUUCGGUAGGGGAGACUGGAAUUCCUGGUGUAGCGGUGAAAUGCGCAGAUAUCAGGAGGAACACCGGUGGCGAAGGCGGGUCUCUAGGCCGACACUGACGUGAGGAGCGAAAGCGUGGGGGAGCGAACAGG
rnacentral:rRNA from 1 species